rnacentral:rRNA from 1 species
GACAGAGGUGCCAAGCGUUUAGGCGGAAUCACUGGGCUUAAAGCGUGUGUAGGCGGACUUUUAAGUGCCUUGUGAAAUCCCACGGCUCAACCGUGGAAUGGCUGGGCAUACUGGGAGUCUUGAGCCACCUAGGGGUCGCUGGAACAAACGGUGGAGCGGUGAAAUGCGUAGAUAUCGUAAGGAAGACCAGUGGCGAAGGCGGGUCUCUGGACAGUUCCUGACGCUGAGGCACGGAAGGCCAGGGAGCAA